AAAGAUCACCGUCACAAUGACUAUUGCUUUUUAACAGGGUUAUUGACUGUUUUCUGUGUCUUUUCAGGAGAGAAAAGACAAACUGAAAACCUACUCUGCAGUGCAGUCUAAAGACAGUAACUCCGAGAUAGAAGCCGCCCCACAAUACGAACAAUGACAGCUCUGAGGAUUCGUCCUCAGCCCUACAAUACGAACAAUGACAACUCUGAGGAUUUUUAUGACUGACUACCUGAGAAAAGGGAUUCUUAACAGAAGCUGAUGAGAACGCUUUAGAGAAUGUCUCCAUACUGUUUUAUUUUUUCUUCCAUUCAUUACCCUUAUCUGGCUAGAUUAUUUAUACGUUGUAAAAUUUAUCAAACUGUAUCAUACAAAAAUAAUAAUAAUAAACUUGAUGCCUCUUACUGUGGAUAAAGUAUGUGAAGCGUUUUAAAAAACACACUGAUGUUAACCCUGCUUCAGUCUCUUUAUCUGAACAACUCUUACAACUCAUAAUGACAGCUUGAAAUAGAUUAAUCUGGUCUUUUAAAGCGAUUUGUUUGCACUAGGCUGGAAAUCAUGUAUUUUCAAUGCCGCUAGCAUCUCCAGUGGUCUGCAUCUAGCAUGCUUGAGUGUAGUGAUGUGAGUCACCUGUGAAAUGACAAAGAACAAUGGCCACUCUGGAUGUUACCAAACGACCUGUGGACCUGUUGAAGUGGCCCAUCGCCCAGGACAAGAUAAUAAUAAUAAUAAAUCAUUUAUUACAUCUCUAUAGCACUUUUCAUAUAAUCUCAAAGAUGUAUCGACAUGUUUACAGACCCACAAUAUAAACAACGGAUCACAAUGUAUGUUUUUUGGAACUGUUUAGUGAAGUUGUAGUUAUGUACAAAGAUGAUAUCAGACCUGUAUUAGUUUUCCUUUUUCAUUUCCCAUGUGCCUUUUCAUUUUCUAUGACAUUUCCAACUCCCUAAUAUCUUAUUGCUGCAAGGAAUGUUUUAGUACAAUCAUGUUUUCAUGUUUUAUUUUUGUAUAAUAUGCUUUGUGAUCAAAGUAUUGCUCUAGUAGACAUGCAGUACUCAGAAACAUAAUAAUUAAAUUUGAUAAAAUA